rnacentral:rRNA from 1 species
GAUGAACGCUAGCUACAGGCUUAACACAUGCAAGUCGAGGGGUAACGAGAGGGAAGCUUGCUUUCCUUGUCGACGACCGGCGCACGGGUGAGUAACGCGUAUCCAACCUGCCCCCAACUAGGGAAUAACCUUGCGAAAGUAAGACUAAUACCCUAUAAUUUCCUCAGAUGUCAUCUGACGAGGAAUAAAGAUUUCUCGGUUAUAGAUGGGGAUGCGUCUGAUUAGCUUGUUGGCGGGGUAACGGCCCACCAAGGCAACGAUCAGUAGGGGUUCUGAGAGGAAGGUCCCCCACAUUGGAACCGAGACACGGUCCAAACUCCUACGGGAGGCAGCAGUGAGGAAAUUGGUCAAUGGGCGGAAGCCUGAACCAGCCAAGUAGCGUGCAGGAUGACGGCCCUAUGGGUUGUAAACUGCUUUUAUACAGGAAUAAAGUUAGCCACGUGUGGUUAUUUGUAGGUACUGUAUGAAUAAGGACCGGCUAAUUCCGUGCCAGCAGCCGCAGUAA